rnacentral:tRNA from 1 species
UGGGCCGUAGCUCAAUCGGCAGAGCGGCCGGCUUUGAACCGGCAGGUUGUGGGUUCAAUCCCUACCGGCCCAG